GUGUCAGCAGCCGCGGUAAUACAGAGGGUGCAAGCGUUGCUCGGAAUCAUUGGGCGUAAAGGGCAGGUAGGUGGUCUGAUUUGUCUGGAGGUGAAAGCCUUGGGCUUAACCCAAGAAGUGCCCCGGAAACGGUCAGACUUUGAGUCUUGGAGAGGGUUGCGGAAUUCCCGGUGUAGCGGUGAAAUGCGUAGAGAUCGGGAGGAACACCAGCGGCGAAGGCGGCAACCUGGACAAGCACUGACACUCAACUGCGAAAGCGUGGGGAGCAAACAGGAUUAGAUACCCCUGUAGUCC
rnacentral:rRNA from 1 species